GUCUGUCUACCUGUCUGUCUCCCCAGGAGGAAUAUAUCCAGGAGGGGAUCAGGUGGACGCCCAUCGAGUAUUUCAACAACAAGGUGGUGUGUGACCUCAUCGAGUCCAAAGUGAAUCCCCCUGGGGUGAUGAGCGUGCUGGACGACGUGUGCGCUACGAUGCACGCUAAGGGGGACGGCGCGGACCAGACGCUGCUGCAGAAGCUGCAGGGUCAGAUCGCAUCGCACCAGCACUUCAGCAGCUGGA